rnacentral:lncRNA from 1 species
GCAAGCCACAGUAAUGGCCACAACUCUGCUCCACUUCCUGCGACGGAUACCGCGCGGCUCCUCCACCCUUUGGCAAGUCGCAAAAACGGACGCCGCUUCAGACUCCACGUGGCAGGUCACGGUGAUAGCCACGAUUCCACUCCACUACUCUUCAUAACAAACUCCUCCUGGCUUCGAACGGCCCACUGUCGAAUGGUUACAAACGUCGCUAUCAGUCUAUUGCCCCCUCCGCCUAUAAAAAGGGGGGAUCCCAGAUACGUUAUUCUCUAAGCUCUAAUUUCUAUCCUAAAAACUCUGCUAAAAUUUUUGUUCGAGCACUCCAUUCU